UGAAUGACUGGUAGACUUAACUUAAUCAGUUCAUAGGGCAAGGCUAUAUAUCUGUAUUUCAUUACUGGUGAAUGUGAAUUUGAUAUAUAAUAAACUACGCAUUUUAAAUCCAGAAGGAACAGGACAACAGCUGUUUGAUUUUUGAAGAGUAAAACAGAAAAAGAAAACAUUGGAGAGAUUCAUACUGAAGCAAGUUUUGAUAACUCAAUCCCAGAUGGAGAUUCUGACCAAUACGUGAACAACCAAGAAGAGUUUUCAGAAAACACUUCUGAAUCUACUGUACAGCUUUCAGUGCAGUGUGUGGAGAACCAGAGGGGACUUCAUGGGCAAAUUGCAUAUGAUGAAACUUUUUAUCCCAUCAAUCUCCAUCCUCAGGCUGAGCCAGAUACUGAAGAUGAAGGCAUUAUUAUCAACAUGUAAAAAACUUCAGCUGAGUUGUAAUUGUAAAAUAAUUUUAAAAACUAAAUACUAAUUUUUAACCAGUAAAACUUUUAAUAAAAUUGUAUAAAAAGUUCCUUUUAAGUUUAGAGUAACUUACUUUCAUUUUGCAAGUUUUCAAACACACACACACACACACACACACACACACACAC